rnacentral:sRNA from 1 species
GCUUUGGGGGUUCGGUUAGUGCGAAGACGACGUUCUUCUUUUCCCCUGGUGUCAGAAUGCCUGUUAAAAAAAAACCAACAGCCUCCACAACUAGGACAUGCACACAUUGGUGUAAUUUGAUGGUGAAAGGCCUGGGGAAUUCCUGUUAGGAAACCUGUAGACAAUACACUUUGAUCGGUAAUGGGAGUGUAACAUCUAGGGGUUGUACUAGAUGACAUCAAGGUGUCCCUUUCAACUCUUCUGUGAUUAAUGAGCCUUGGCGGGGGGUGGGGGGUGGGCAGUGGGGGCUUAAAAGUAGUUUAGACCAUUCUGUCUUUUUUUCUUUAGCAAAAUAUACCAUUCUUUUAAAAAUGACACCUGAAACAAAGCCAGCUGCUGUGUUUAAAAUAUUGAAAUAACAAGACUUGGAUUAGUUGGUGUAUGUGUGUAUGUUUUACAAGAGUUGAAUAGGCUGGGCACGGUGGCUCACGUCUGUAAUCCAGCACUUUGGGAGGCGGAGGUGAGCGGAUCACUUGAGGUCAGGAGUUUGAGACCAGCCUGGCCAACAUGGGGAAACCCCAACUCUACUAAAAGUAAAAAAUAAAAAAAGCUGGGUGUGAUGGCAGACGCCCGUGGUCCCAGCUACUCAGGAGGCUGAGGUGGGAGAAUCGCUUGAACCCGGGAGGCAGAGGUUGUAGUGAAUCGAGAUUGCGCCACUGCACUCCAGCGAAAGAGCAAAACUCUGUAUCAAAAAAAAGAAAAAAAAAAGUUGAAUGAAGUUUAUUUGGAAACCUGUUUUCACACCACUGAGGAGGCCAGGCAUGCUUGUACCAAAGCAGAAUGUUUCACCUCCAGAUAUGUCAACUUUGUCUUUAAAAGGUGAUCAAGCUCUCCUUGGAGGCAUUUUUUAUUUUUUGAACAUUUUUAGCCAUGGCGAGCUACCUCCUCAUUGUGAACAGCGCUUCCUCCCUUGUGAAAUUGGCUGUGUUAAGUAUUCUCUCCAAGAAGGUAUUAUGGCAGAUUUCCACAGUUUUAUAAAUCCUGGUGAAAUUCCACGAGGAUUUCGAUUUCAUUGUCAGGCUGCAAGUGAUUCUAGUCACAAGAUUCCUAUUUCAAAUUUUGAACGUGGGCAUAACCAAGCAACUGUGUUACAAAACCUUUAUAGAUUUAUUCAUCCCAACCCAGGGAACUGGCCACCUAUCUACUGCAAGUCUGAUGAUAGAACCAGAGUCAACUGGUGUUUGAAGCAUAUGGCAAAGGCAUCAGAAAUCAGGCAAGAUCUACAACUUCUCACUGUAGAGGACCUUGUAGUGGGGAUCUACCAACAAAAAUUUCUCAAGGAGCCCUCUAAGACUUGGAUUCGAAGCCUCCUAGAUGUGGCCAUGUGGGAUUAUUCUAGCAACACAAGGUCCCCUAGUCUCCUGAUGCUUCUUGUCAUAAUUCUUCUUGGACUAAUUCACUGUCUAUGAUCAGCUGACUAAACAUGGCAGCCUUUAUUUAAUCAACAAAUAUUUAUUGAGCACCUCCUCUGUGCCAGAAGAUGAUCCAAAGGUGCAAGUGGCAUGAAGAAAAUGAUAUUCUCUUCUGUGCUUUAGCUGUUUGCAAGAAGAUUGCGUACUGCAUCAGUAAUUCUCUGGCCACUCUCUUUGGAAUCCAGCUCACAGAGGCUCAUGUACCACUACAAGAUUAUGAGGCCAGCAAUAGUGUGACACCCAAAAUGGUUGUAUUGGAUGCAGGGCGUUACCAGAAGCUAAGGGUCGGGAGUUCAGGAUUCUCUCAUUUCAACUCUUCUAAUGAGGAACAAAGAUCAAACACACCCAUUGGUGACUACCCAUCUAGGGCAAAAAUUUCUGGCCAAAACAGCAGCGUUCGGGGAAGAGGAAUUACCCGCUUACUAGAGAGCAUCUCCAAUUCUUCCAGCAAUAUCCACAAAUUCUCCAACUGUGACACUUCACUCUCACCUUACAUGUCCCAAAAAGAUGGAUACAAAUCUUUCUCUUCCUUAUCUUAAUGAUGGUACUCUUUUCAAUUUCUGAAAACAGUAACAGGCCCAACUUCCUUCUUACUACAGUCAUAUUAAACAGAUCACAUCAAUGACAAAUGUCACUACUAUAAAAACUACUUAAUUUGUAAGGAAAUUGUUUCAUAGAUUUAAAAAAAUUGUGGUUGGAGAGCAUCUUGGCAUUUGUGCUUUUUUUCUUGAGGGAUUGUUCUGCUUCCUGGCUGUAUGAUGGGUAUAUCAUUAAAGUUUGGAGUCCUGUAUGAACAAAACUGACAUUUUUAGAGUUGUACUUUUGGGAAUGUUAUAGAUUGAUCAUUCUUUCUCCUGAUAAUAAAGGUAUUGAAUAUCUGUUAUGAAAGGUUCUAAAA